AGAGUUUGAUCCUGGCUCAGAUUGAACGCUGGCGGCAUGCCUUACACAUGCAAGUCGAACGGCAGCACGGACCUCGGUCUGGUGGCGAGUGGCGAACGGGUGAGUAAAGCAUCGGAACGUGCCCGAUCGUGGGGGAUAACGCAGCGAAAGCUGCGCUAAUACCGCAUAAGAUCUACGGAUGAAAGCGGGGGACUCGCAAGAGCCUCGCGCGAACGGAGCGGCCGAUGUCAGAUUAGGUAGUUGGUGGGGUAAAGGCCCACCAAGCCGACGAUCUGUAGCUGGUCUGAGAGGACGACCAGCCACACUGGGACUGAGACACGGCCCAGACUCCUACGGGAGGCAGCAGUGGGGAAUUUUGGACAAUGGGCGCAAGCCUGAUCCAGCCAUGCCGCGUGCAGGGAGAAGGCCUUCGGGUUGUAAACUGCUUUUGUACGGAGCGAAAAGGCCCCUACUAACACUGGGGGUCCAUGACGGUACCGUAAGAAUAAGCACCGGCUAACUACGUGCCAGCAGCCGCGGUAAUACGUAGGGUGCAAGCGUUAAUCGGAAUUACUGGGCGUAAAGCGUGCGCAGGCGGUUUUGUAAGACAGAGGUGAAAUCCCCGGGCUCAACCUGGGAACUGCCUUUGUGACUGCAAAGCUGGAGUGCGGCAGA
rnacentral:rRNA from 1 species